GGAGGAGUAGCGAAGUGGCUAAACGCGGCUGACUGUAACUCAGUUCCUUCGGGUUCGGCAGUUCGAAUCUGUCCUCCUCCACCA
rnacentral:tRNA from 1 species